GGAUGUGAGGGUGAUCUGGCUGUGAUAUCUGUCACCCCAUUGAUCACAAGGGUUGAUUCGACUGAUCUGGCUGGCUAGGCGGGUGUCCCUUCCUCCCUCACCACUCCAUGUGCGUCCCUCCCUAAGCGCUCUGUCAAGAAGAGGAUGACAUCACGUUAUCUGACCUUUUCCGCUUGACUCAUACAUAUACUAGAUUUUGCAUAUAAGGGAAACCAUGGGACCUAUGUUUCUUUGGGCCUGGCUUACUUCACUUAAUAUAAUUUUUUCCAAGUUUUUCCAUUUCCUAACAAAUGGGGCAAUGUCAUUCUUU
rnacentral:snRNA from 1 species